AUGAGGGUGCAGCAGGAGAUGUUGAGGUCUGUACAGGAGAUGUUGACAUCCCAGAAAAAUAGCCAUGUUGCUUUCCGGGAUUGCGUCUUGCACAAUCAAGCGGACCUGCUGGCGCAGGCGAACAGUUUAAGGUAACAGCUGGGCAACAAGAGCCUCGUGAAAGUGGUUUAUUUGCCCGACGACUGCCCUUCCCUGCCCGUCAACAGCCUGGAUGACCUGAGGGCCUUGAACGUGCACCUUGAAGCAAGAGACAAGCUUCAGCACAUGGUAGACUACUACAGCCAGAAGGGAGGCACCGACAAAAAUGCCGACACGCGGGCCUUGCUGACCUGCCUUGUCCACAACGAUGUGGC